rnacentral:lncRNA from 1 species
CCCGGGAUAAGAAAAUCUUUAGUAUUUCGAACAAUUCAUACUUUUGUAACAGUUUAUUUAUAAAAAAAAAAAGACCAUGUAAUUGAUAAUCAUAUCCACAUCGAAGUGCUCACUACCGUGCUGGUGAUACUCUUGGGGAUGAAACGUCUACCAGCAGUGGUACCCAGUGGUGUAAAUAGUUAUCAACGGUACCAGGCUUAUAAUUUGAUACACCAGGCUUCGAACAGCGGUAUACUACUGUUGCCUAUGUUUAUAAAUUGAUACACACAAAUGCCACUGUAAGUAUUCGAAAGAAG